CCCAAGAACUAAAUCUAAAAAUUCUACAUUUUUGUUGUAAAGUUUCGACGAAAGACAGGAGAAGGACGGCGGAAGAUGUGUUAGAGAUUAAUGAAGGCGCCCAGGACUCACACUGUUGUGACGUCAACGCUCAUUCUGCAAAUACUUUGGGAUUCUGCAUAUGCACCUGUAAGCUAAACUAUUAUGGAAAUGGAGAAACAUGCAGACAAAUUGUUGAUGGUUGUCAUAACUACUAAAAACUGACUGAGUUUGAAAGGAAAAGCAGUCACGUCACACCCCAGUUUGGUCCAGUAUACUGUGACGACCAACUCUCCAAAGGAUGGUAUCGUUUCAUGGGAGCUGCAGGCACAAAAUUCAGAUGUGGUGCAGGCUGGUGGGGCUAGUUGGAUGGUGAUCAUCCUUCAGUGGGAGAUGGUGAAGUUCUUAGGAAAGUCUAUCUUAGUGAUCGUAAAAUGGAUUGCAAGAACACAUUGGACAUUUUUGUGAAAGAUUACAGACUGCAUCCACCUCCGGUUUGUAAUUCGCGUUAUUGGGAAGAUAGGUUGUAAACAUGAAUGAACUUAGGGUAGGAUAGGGGAACACCUAAAUGGAAUGUUUCAUCAUUAAUUUAUCGAAUACUGUUACUGAGAAUAAUUUGAUGGAUAAUAAUGGAUUUCAACAAACGCUUGAACUCGGCUUGAGUAAUCAUUUUAAUUGAAUAUGAAUUAUAAUAAAACGCAUUUAUUCUAUUUUAUACCGACAAAACUGAGAUAUAUGUGAAAAAAAGGCAAUUUUCACCAUUUAUACCAUGCAAUUCAUUUAACACACAAUUUUUUAUUAAACUUUACGCUCUCUAAUUACCCCGAUUAACUCAAUUUUAUGAGUUAAACCUAGCGGUCAUUGUUUUCACUUCUACGCUCUUAUCACUACAGUAACUUGCCUAGAGACGUACUUGGGACAACUGUCAACGAAGAUUGAACCUUUCUUUAAUCCUUUACAGUCUAAGAUUGGUAUAAAGAAAACGUAAUACUUUCCAACAUAAAAGGAAUAUUUAAAAACCUACCACUGCCAAGAUGUCUCAGUGAUCCAGCGGCAUUUUUCGCGAGUUUGUCUAUGUCACAAAUCUUUAUAUUGUGCCCAAAAAGUACUUAGUUCUCCGAGAAUGCGAAUAAAAGAAGAGGAUAAAUCUGUUAGGAACCUUUUGUUAAUCUUGUUGUUUCUCUAGACAAGAAUUUAUUCGCUGCGAUUCAAGAUUACAGAAUCUUUAGGUUUGUUUUUGACCAGCGGUUUCACCCUUUACACCCAUCAUCCCUUGUGCGGAUGGGGAAGCAUGUGCUCUUGUAAAAAAAUGGCGCCAUUGUGUUUCAGCCCUUGUAUUUCUGUACGGAUUUUUUGUUCAAGUUAAUCACAGUUUUUACGGGACAGUGUCGAUGCUCCGAAUAGCAAAAAGCGAGAAACAACGUAUGUUUGAACAGUGUGAAGUUUAUUUCUCUUGUUGCUUGUAUUUUUUACAUCAG